rnacentral:rRNA from 1 species
UACAGAGGGUGCGAGCGUUAAUCGGAAUUACUGGGCGUAAAGCGCGCGUAGGCGGCUUUGCAAGUCGGGUGUGAAAUCCCCAGGCUCAACCUGGGAACUGCAUUCGAGACUGCAUUGCUAGAGUAUGGGAGAGGGAAGUGGAAUUUCCGGUGUAGCGGUGAAAUGCGUAGAUAUUCGCAAGAACACCAGUGGCGAAGGCGGCUCACUGGCCCGGUACUGACGCUGAGGUGCGAAAGCGUGGGGAGCAAACAGG